AAGACUAUACUUCACAGGAUCAUUUCUGUAGUCAGUCUUCAUUUAUUUUCAUUGCAAAAUGAAAAACACUAAAACUGCGAUGAAGAGGUAUAUCGUUUUAUCUGUAGCGUGAGGUUUUGAACUUUGUCUUUUUUUAGUUCUUUACACUUUGGUGUUUAGGCUUUGGGACAAUGUUUCUUCGAUGAUCGCUUGGUUUACACGGAUAAAACGACUUCUGAGUGGC